AGUGAACGCUGGCGGCGUGCCUAAUACAUGCAAGUCGAACGGAGUGGCGCACGGGUGAGUAAUGUAUAGCUAAUCUGCCCCACACUAGAGGACAACAGUUGGAAACGGCUGCUAAUACUCUUUAGUGUAGGAUGAGGCUAUAUUGUAUCAGCUAGUUGGUUAGGUAAUGGCUCACCAACGCUAUGACGCAUAACUGGUCUGAGAGGAUGAUCAGUGACACUGGAACUGAGAGACGGUGCAGACUCCUACAGGAGGCAGCAGUAGGGAAUAUGGCACAAUGGGGGAAACGCUGAAGCAGAACGCCGAGUGGAGGAUGACACUUUUCGGAGAAUAAGCUCCUUUUGUUAGGGAAGCGGUACCUAACGAAUAAGCACCGGCUAACUCCGUGCCAGCAGCCGCGGUAAUAC
rnacentral:rRNA from 1 species